rnacentral:lncRNA from 1 species
UCGCCGCCUUCGACCCGCACCAACUGGGCAAGUACCGGGGCCGGCCCGGCAAGCGCGCCCGGGGACGGGGACGGAGCCGACCCCAAACCCAAUCCCAAUCCCAAACCCAGCGGCCCCAGAGACCCCGACGGGGGACGGCGGAGAAGGCCCCCCGGCUGCGACCCCUCGAGGCCCCGCCCCCGCCUGGCCCCGCCCCUGACCUGGGACCGGGCCCUGAGCGCCGGGGGCAGGGCGGGCGUCCCCCGCGGGGCCACCUGGGAGCGCCUGAUUGGUCAGUGACGACCCCUGACCCCUGACCCCAUUGACCCCAUUGACCCCAUUGACCCCACUGACCCUAGUGACCUCCCUUGACCCCGUUGACUUCCCUUGACCCUAUUAAUCUUCCUUGACCC